GAGUUUGAUCGUGGCUCAGGACGAACGCUGGCGGCGCGCCUAACACAUGCAAGUCGAACGGAAUUAUUUCGGUUGAAGUUUUCGGAUGGAAACUGAUUUAGUUUAGUGGCGAACGGGUGAGUAACGCGUGAGUAACCUGCCCUGGAGUGGGGGACAACAGUUGGAAACGACUGCUAAUACCGCAUAAGCCCACGGUGCCGCAUGGCACAGCGGGAAAAGGAUUUAUUCGCUUCAGGAUGGACUCGCGUCCAAUUAGCUAGUUGGUGAGGUAACGGCCCACCAAGGCGACGAUUGGUAGCCGGACUGAGAGGUUGAACGGCCACAUUGGGACUGAGACACGGCCCAGACUCCUACGGGAGGCAGCAGUGGGGGAUAUUGCACAAUGGGGGAAACCCUGAUGCAGCGACGCCGCGUGGAGGAAGAAGGUUUUCGGAUUGUAAACUCCUGUCGUUAGGGACGAAUUUUGACGGUACCUAACAAGAAAGCACCGGCUAACUACGUGCCAGCCGCCGCCGUAAG
rnacentral:rRNA from 1 species